GGUGAUUGAAGAGGUAGAUGGGGAUGUUAAUGCAGAAGAUGGAGAUUGGUUCUCUUCAUUCAAAUCAUGUUUCGAGCAGUCGGAAUAUCUUGUUUCAUCACAAACUUCAAACAUUUCACCAUUUUGGUCAUCUCUAGUCCCAGAACAGUUGAUUGGUUCAAAAAGAGUAUCAAAGGUAUUGCUGUCUUCUUGCACUACAAUUUCAGCUGAUUUUAAAAUAUCCACAUCACCUUCUGAAGUCAUCC
rnacentral:misc_RNA from 1 species